GUAGGGAAUCUUCGGCAAUGGACGAAAGUCUGACCGAGCAACGCCGCGUGAGUGAAGAAGGUUUUCGGAUCGUAAAACUCUGUUGGUAGAGAAGAACGUUGGUGAGAGUGGAAAGCUCAUCAAGUGACGGUAACUACCCAGAAAGGGACGGCUAACUACGUGCCAGCAGCCGCGGUAAUACGUAGGUCCCGAGCGUUGUCCGGAUUUAUUGGGCGUAAAGCGAGCGCAGGUGGUUUAUUAAGUCUGGUGUAAAAGGCAGUGGCUCAACCAUUGUAUGCAUUGGAAACUGGUAGACUUGAGUGCAGGAGAGGAGAGUGGAAUUCCAUGUGUAGCGGUGAAAUGCGUAGAUAUAUGGAGGAACACCGGUGGUGAAAGCGGCUCUCUGGCCUGUAACUGACACUGAGGCUCGAAAGCGUGGGGAGCAAACAGGAUUAGAUACCCUUGUAGUCC
rnacentral:rRNA from 1 species